UACGGAGGAUCCAAGCGUUAUCCGGAAUCAUUGGGAUUAAAGGGUCCGUAGGCGGUCUAGUAAGUCAGUGGUGAAAGCCCAUCGCUCAACGGUGGAACGGCCAUUGAUACUGCUGGACUUGAAUUAUUGGGAAGCAACUAGAAUAUGUAGUGUAGCGGUGAAAUGCUUAGAGAUUACAUGGAAUACCAAUUGCGAAGGCAGGUUGCUACCAAUUGAUUGACGCUGAUGGACGAAAGCGUGGGUAGCGAACAGG
rnacentral:rRNA from 1 species